UACGGAGGGGGCCAGCGUUGUUCGGAAUCAUUGGGCGUAAAGGGCGCGUAGGCGGCCUGGUAAGUCGGGCGUGAAAUCCCGCGGCUCAACCGCGGAAUUGCGCUCGAAACUGCUUGGCUAGAGUCCCGGAGAGGGUAGCGGAAUUCCCAGUGUAGCGGUGAAAUGCGUAGAUAUUGGGAGGAACACCAGUGGCGAAGGCGGCUACCUGGACGGGAACUGACGUUGAGGCGCGAAAGCGUGGGUAGCAAACAGG
rnacentral:rRNA from 1 species